CUGCGCAUGUGCAGGACCCAGCAGGUCUAGAUCUUUUCUGUGUCUCUCCGGACUUCGAGCCAUGGCGGUGACGGAAGCGAGCCUGUUGCGCCAGUGCCCCCUGCUUCUGCCCCAGAACCGGUCGAAAACCGUGUAUGAGGGAUUCAUCUCGGCUCAGGGAAGAGACUUCCACCUUAGGAUAGUGUUGCCUGAAGAUUUACAACUGAAGAAUGCAAGAUUAUUAUGUAGUUGGCAGCUGAGAACAAUACUUAGUGGAUACCAUCGAAUAGUACAACAGAGAAUGCAGCACUCUCCUGAUCUAAUGAGCUUUAUGAUGGAGUUGAAGAUGCUUUUGUUGAAAAUCUUCUGUAGAGAACUUCUCAUCAGUUGUUUGGUUAAUUUGAGGUACAGCUUAUACUGGAGAGACUGGGAAGUUGCCUUAAAGAAUAGACAAGAGCUGUAUGCACUACCUCCUCCUCCCCAGUUCUACUCAAGCCUUAUUGAAGAGAUAGGAACUCUUGGUUGGGAUAAACUUGUGUAUGCGGAUACCUGCUUCAGUACCAUCAAGUUAAAAGCAGAAGAUGCUUCUGGUAGAGAGCAUUUAAUCACUCUCAAGUUGAAGGCAAAGUAUCCUGCAGAAUCACCAGAUUAUUUUGUGGAUUUUCCUGUUCCAUUUUGUGCCUCCUGGACACCUCAGGUAAAUUCUCCUCAGAGCUCCUUAAUAAGCAUUUAUAGUCAGUUUUUGGCAGCAAUAGAAUCACUAAAGGCAUUCUGGGAUGUUAUGGAUGAAAUCGAUGAGAAGACCUGGGUACUUGAGCCAGAAAAACCUCCACGGAGUGCAGCAGCACGCAGAAUUGCAUUAGGGAAUAAUGUUUCCAUAAAUAUAGAGGUAGACCCCAGGCAUCCUACUAUGCUUCCUGAGUGCUUCUUUCUUGGAGCUGACCAUGUGGUAAAACCCCUGGGAAUUAAGCUGAGCAGGAACAUACAUUUGUGGGAUCCAGAAAAUAGUGUGUUACAAAAUUUGAAAGAUGUUUUAGAAAUUGAUUUUCCAGCUCGUGCUAUCCUGGAAAAAUCUGAUUUUACUAUGGAUUGUGGAAUUUGUUAUGCUUAUCAACUUGACGGUACAAUUCCUGAUCAAGUGUGUGAUAAUUCCCAGUGUGGACAACCUUUCCAUCAAAUAUGCUUAUAUGAGUUACUAAUGAGUGGAGAAAUGUUCUGAAGUAUCCAAGAAGGGAGAAAAUCUAUCCAGAAUAUAUUCAUGGACUAGCUUAUUGACACACAACAAAUUAAAUUGAUGGUACAUUGGUAUCUUUCUGUAAAUUCCUUGUUACCACAAUGUAAGCUUCAUAGAUUUACCCAAGGUGGAGGUGGUUGAAAGUGGCAGUAAUACAGUGAAAAUGAAAUUAGUACUAUGUAGUAUCUAUUACUUUUCAGGCUGCAUUUAAGAAUAGAAUAUAUCCAAUACUACUACUUUUCAUGUUGAGAAGAAUGCCUUUUGUGAUCUGAGUCUCACAGCACUCAGGCAAUGCAACUUUACUUACUGUAUGUGAAGUCUACUUUCAUUCCUGUCUUUAGUGCUUGGCUUCACCUUAGGGCCUAGUUGAUACAUGAUAAACUGUGUGUAACUAUAUACAGAACACCUUGCAAUUGUAUGUUGCCUUCGGUUUCAGUCUUCCUUAAUAUCACAUCUUUACUUUUGUGAUUAGAGGUAGCAGUUGGUGCCGUCUGUACUUUGCCAAUGGAGAACUUAGGCAGAGGCAUCUGUUUACCUUAUAUAAAAUCAUGAAAUUACAGAAAUACAGGUCAAAUUACAGAAAUACUCUAAGGGAACAUGUGAUUUCUUUUGUAAUUAUGAAUAUUCAUUUAAUUUUUAAAAAUUCACUGGCUCAUGCUUAUAAUCAAUGGGUUGAAAAUUAACCCACUGUUAGUGAUUAAGACCAGAACUAAGAGGGAAAUUUUCAAGAGCCUAUAGUAUCUUUAACAGCAGGAGUUGUUAAUUUGUGAUUAAUGGAUUUAGGGAAACUCUAUGAAUGCCAGGAACUUAGUAUGCAUUAUUUUUAUGUAUGUCUAUUCUGGGGAUAAAGAAAAUGCGUAAUUCUUAUCAGAUUCUUAAAGGGGCCCAUAAUGUGGUUAUAAACCAGUGGUUUAGGCCUUCAAUUCCAUGUUGAUUUCCCUUGUUACUCAACAUCUUAAUAGUCUGCUAUUGGCUCAGGAAAUACAUCCCUUACUCUUGCAAAACAAAAUUAACCUAAGUCUUCUGGAAUAAAAACAUAAUGCACUUAAAAACAAAGGGAAUGACAUUUGGAGUAUCUGUAAUUUGUAAUCAUGCUGACGCUUCUCCUUUAUCUUUUAAAAUUUGCAGUGGCUGAGAGGACUACUAACUAGUAGACAGAGUUUUAACAUCAUAUUUGGUGAAUGUCCAUAUUGUAGUAAGCCAAUUACCUUAAAAAUGUCUGGAAGGAAACACUGAAAUAAGAAUAUAACAUUUUGAUGAAGAGCUGGAAACUUAAAAAAUUAUCAAAAGGAAUUUUGGUAUCUUCAGAGAAAAAAUAAUUUGGUAUCUUCAGAGAAAAAAUAAAGCAAGAAAUACUAACAUCAAAAGGACAGGUAUGAUGAUGCGAUAAUAAUAAACAUCUGCGUUUGUCUCUUCACUAAGAGUAAACUGGGAAAUUGUAGGCCAAAGUCCAGUUGAACUUUCUAAGUCUGUGAUCCCCGUGCUGACUGUGGAAGUGUAUUUAUACCAAGAUGGAGAUCUUGACUUCUUGAAUAUAUCUGGACUGAUAAAAUCUUGAUGAGGUUCAUAAAAUGAGUUUGGGAAUUGUGUAUAGCUGAUUUUUUGUGGGAAACUGUUUACUUCAUUCAAAGGUUCUUGAGACUCUUGAUAUUUCUGUCUUCUCCUUGUGCUUCCCUAUGGAAAAAAUACAUAUAUAGUUUAGUUUGUUAGAUGUGAGUUAUCCAAGUAUUUAUUUUGUGUAGUGUGUAAGAAUGCUAAAUAAAAUGUUAUACAAGAUCAA